GCUGGGGCCAGGGACUAAGCUUUGGAGUCCGCAAAGGCUCCAUCCUGUCCAGGAGGAAGGAGCAUUCUGGCUACUGUGGUAGUUUUUCAGGAUGAAUGGCUUAGAGUUUGGAACCGUCCUCCUGUGAGGCAGACAGCAGGCCUGGCUUUGAGGCUCAUUCUCCUGAGGACAGACGUGACUCAUCAUUCAGGAUGUUGUGUCAUCCUUAAAUGAACAUGGAAUUUGUGGCCAGAUCGUCUUCCCCUGUGGACACGUGUGACAAUUAGGGAAAGAGCAGAGAGGUGGUAGAGUGGAGGACCAAGCAUGUCCAGUGGGAGCCUGAUGACAGAAGUUGUCAGCUACAAGUCAAAGGCGUCUUGAGAACUCGUGACCGUGUCUGCGUCCUAAGGCUGUGGAAACCUGAGCUGGGAGACACGCUGCUGUGUCUGAGGAUGGAGAGGACAAUGGACAGCGGAUGUAUCAAGGGAAGCUGAAAAUCUCCUAGUUCCAGAACUGGGGGCCAUGGACCGUGUUUGUACAGGAGCCACUGUGCCUGGACAAUUGUAGCUACCGUCUCACCAUCAAAAAAAGCUUCUCUUUGCAGCAAAUGGAGACCAUCACAGAAAAUCACAAUUGGGUACAGUGCAGAGGAGAACCCAGACCAAAAGGAUACACCUAUAUCAAAGAUGCUGCAUCAGUGGCUCAGGGAACGUCUUAGGAGAUGGGGUGGAGAGUGUAAGAGCGGGACUGCCAGGCCGUCUGCUGUGAGUCAGUCUCUCCUAGACUGUGACAAUGGCAGUACCAGUGGAUAUGUUAACAUGGACGGGGGAAUCUUCAUGGUCUCAUCUUUACACAAAGAACUACAGGCAAGGAAUAACUGCUGGGAGUAUAACUAGCCUUUCCAAGGAAUAAACCUCUGCAUUGGUUGUUGUGAUGGUUUGAAUAUGCUUGGCCCAGGAAGUGACACUGGUAGGAGGUAUGGCCUUGUUGGAGGGAAUGUGUCACUGUGGG
rnacentral:lncRNA from 1 species